rnacentral:rRNA from 1 species
GCAGUGGGGAAUAUUGGACAAUGGGCGAAAGCCUGAUCCAGCAAUGCCGCGUGAGUGAAGAAGGCCUUCGGGUUGUAAAGCACUUUCGUUGGGGAAGAAAUGCUCAAGGCUCAUACCCUUGAGAGUUGACGUUACCCAAAGAAGAAGCACUGGCAAACUCUGUGCCAGCAGCCGCGGUAAUACAGAGAGUGCGAGCGUUAAUCGGAAUCACUGGGCGUAAAGCGCAUGUAGGUGGAUAUUUAAGUCGGAUGUGAAAGCCCCGGGCUUAACCUGGGAAUUGCAUUCGAUACUGGAUACUAGAGUGUGGUAGAGGGAAGUGGAAUUUCCGGUGUAGCGGUGAAAUGCGUAGAUAUCGGAAGGAACAUCAGUGGCGAAGGCGACUUCCUGGACCAAUACUGACGCUCAGGUGCGAAAGCGUGGGGAGCAAACAGGAUUAGAUACCCGGGUAG